AUACGGGGGGAGCAAGCGUUGUCCGGAAUCACUGGGCGUAAAGGGCGUGUAGGCGGGCUGAUAAGUCAGAUGUGAAAGUCCACGGCUUAACCGUGGAAUUGCAUUUGGUACUGUCAGUCUUGAGUGCGAGAGAGGGUAGUGGAAUUCCCGGUGUAGCGGUGAAAUGCGUAGAUAUCGGGAAGAACACCAGUAGCGAUGGCGGCUACCUGGCUCGCAACUGACGCUAAGGCGCGAAAGCGUGGGGAGCAAACAGGAUUAGAAACCCGAGUAGUCC
rnacentral:rRNA from 1 species